CAAAUUGAGAGCAAAUAAGGACUAAUACAUGGUAAAUAGUUAACUGGAAGAUCCUACUGGGUCGUUCCACCUGGUGUGGAAGACAUCAAAGUGGCUAUCCUGAUUUAAGAUCUAGUGUCUGGCUGGGUGUGGUGGCUCACACCUGUAGUCCCAGCUACUUAGUAUGCCAAGGCCGGAGGGUUGCUUGAACCCAGGAGUUGGAGGCCAGCCUGGGCGUCAUAGGGAGACCCUGUCCCUAAAACAAAUAAAUCUUAAAAAAAAAUCUGGUGUCUGUUUUUUGCCACUUUGCCAAUCUGCUGGGGAACCUUAGGGCAAGGGUAGAUAUUAACUGCUUUCCUGUCGGUACCUUCUGGGCCUUGAUUAACAAAGUCAGUGUUGAAUGCAUAUGUAUUUGUGCUUCCCUCUUACAUUCCCGUCUGCCAGACAUAACAUAUCAUGACCAUGGUGGUGUUCUCUUCCCAUUUUUUGAAUUUUUUUUUUCGUUUUGCUGCUUGUUUUCUUGCUGUGUUCCUUUUUGACCUUUCUCCCUCCCCACAACCUGGCUUGUGCCAUCCCCGUGACUAUCACUAACAGCCGUUGCCGAGAGAUGGAUGAGCAGAUUAGACUGAUGGACCAGAACCUGAAGUGUCUGAGUGCUGCUGAAGAAAAGUACUCUCAAAAAGAAGACAAAUAUGAGGAAGAAAUCAAGAUUCUUACUGAUAAACUCAAGGAGGCAGAGACCCGUGCUGAGUUUGCUGAGAGAUCGGUAGCCAAGCUGGAAAAGACAAUUGAUGACUUGGAAGAUAAACUGAAAUGCACCAAAGAGGAGCACCUCUGUACACAAAGGAUGCUGGACCAGACCCUGCUUGACCUGAAUGAGAUGUAGAACGCCCCAGUCCCACCCUGCUGCUGCUCCUCCCUCUGACCCAGACUCCGCCUGAGGCCAGCCUGCCGGAAGCUGACCUUUAACUGAGGGCCGAUCUUUAACUGGAAGGCUGCUUUCUCCUUUCGCCACCCCCUCCUUCCCUGUGUCUUUUUCGCCAAACUGUCUCUGCCUCUUCCUGGAGAAUCCAGCUGGGCUAGAGGCUGAGCACCUUUGGAAACAACAUUUAAGGGAAUGUGAGCACAAUGCAUAAUGUCUUUAAAAAGCAUGUUGUGAUGUACACAUUUUGUAAUUACCUUUUUUGUUGUUUUGUAGCAACCAUUUGUAAAACAUUCCAAAUAAUUCCACGGCCCUGAAGCAGCAAUCGAAUCCCUUUCUCGCUUUUGGAAGGUGACUUUUCACCUUAAUGCAUAUUCCCCUCUCCAUAGAGGAGAGGAAAAGGUAUAGGCCUGCCUUACUGAGAGCCAAACAGAGCCCAGAGAGACUCCAUUAUGGGAAACCUCAUUGCUCUGUACAAAGUACUAGGUAAACCAGAAAGGUGAUUCCAGGAGGAGUUAGCCAAACAACAACAAAAACAAAAAAUGUGCUGUUCAAGUUUUCAGCUUUAAGAUAUCUUUGGAUAAUGUUAUUUCUACUUUUUAUUUUUUUUCAUUAGAAGUGACCAAAUUAAGAUGGUAAGACCUCUGAGACCAAAAUUUUGUCCCAUCUCUACCCCCUCCCAACUGCUUACAGAAUGGAUCAUGUCCCCCUUAUGUUGAGGUGACCACUUAAUUGCUUUCCUGCCUCCUUGAAAGAAACAAAGAAAGAAGAUUGUGUUUUUGCCACUGAUUUAGCCAUGUGAAACUCAUCUCAUUACCCUUUUCUGGGUUUGAAGCUGCUGUCUCUAGAAGUGCCAUCUCAUUGUGCUUUGUAUCAGUCAGUGCUGGAGAAAUCUUGAAUAGCUUAUGUACAAAACUUUUUAAAUUUUAUAUUAUUUUGAAACUUUGCUUCUUUGGGUUUGUGGCACCCUGGCCACCCCAUCUGACUGUGACAGCCUCUGCAGUCCGUGGGCUGGCAGUUUGUUGAUCUUUUAAAGUUUCUUUCCCUACCCAGUCCCCAUUUUCUGGUAAGGUUUCUAGGAGGUCUGUUAGGUGUACAUCCUGCAGCUUAUUGGCUUAAAAUGUACUCUCCUUUUAUGUGGUCUCUUUCAGGCCGAUUGGGAGAAAGAGAAAUCAAUAGUGCAACUGUUUUGAUACUGAAUAUUGACAAGUGUCUUUUUGAAAUAAAGAACCAGUCCCUCCAACCCUCAG
rnacentral:sRNA from 1 species